rnacentral:rRNA from 1 species
UUGAACGCUGGCGGCAUGCCUUACACAUGCAAGUCGAACGGUAACAGGGGGCUUGCUCCGCUGACGAGUGGCGAACGGGUGAGUAAUGUAUCGGAACGUACCAUUCAGUGGGGGAUAACGUAGCGAAAGUUACGCUGAUACCGCAUAUUCUGUGAGCAGGAAAGCAGGGGAUCGCAAGACCUUGCGCUGAUUGAGCGGCCGAUAUCAGAUUAGCUAGUUGGUGAGGUAAAAGCUCACCAAGGCGACGAUCUGUAGCGGGUCUGAGAGGAUGAUCCGCCACACUGGAACUGAGACACGGUCCAGACUCCUACGGGAGGCAGCAGUGGGGAAUUUUGGACAAUGGGCGCAAGCCUGAUCCAGCAAUGCCGCGUGCAGGAUGAAGGCCUUCGGGUUGUAAACUGCUUUUGUACGGAGCGAAAAGGCUCUCUCUAAUACGGGGGGUUCAUGACGGUACCGUAAGAAUAAGCACCGGCUAACUACGU